UUGAUGGAUAUGAGACAUAUUUAACCAGAAGAGAUGUUUACACAACGCGCUCAAACUGAAACAAAAGACAAUAAUAGAUGGCUUUAACAUGGGUUACAAGCAUCUCUAAUUUCCAAACAUCGAGUUAAAAAUCUGCAAAGCAUGAAAUGAGACAGGAAAAUGAGCGUAAGAUAAUUAGAUUGACCACCUACGAUGUUUAGUGAGACAAUGAUUGUACUUUUUUUACUUCAAAACAUAAUAGUUGAGAUGUUCUUUUGAAAAAAGGUUAUCAAAAAUUGGCUACACGAUUAUUCAUGUAACAUUACCACUAGUUUGGACUGAGUAAUGAAAAUAACCAUUACUACCAAUUUGAAAUACGCUAAUGCCUAGAUAACUAAACUCAGUAAUAUCAAAUUAUAAGGCCGAAGCCUCAAGGACAAAGACAAAUAACUGCUUAACUUAUAUUGAUUUGCUAUAAUCCGCGUCCAAACUCAAAUACUCCGUCAAAAACUUAUACAAAAAACAAUAAU